AUUGAACGCUGGCGGCAGGCUUAACACAUGCAAGUCGAGCGAGCGGCGGACGGGUGAGUAAUGCCUGGGAAACUGCCUGAUGGAGGGGGAUAACUACUGGAAACGGUAGCUAAUACCGCAUACCAUCAGAUGUGCCCAGAUGGGAUUAGAUAGGAGGUGGGGUAAUGGCUCAACUAGGCGAAGAUCCCUAGCUGGUCUGAGAGGAGGACCAGCCCCACUGUAACUGAGACACGGUCCAGACUCCGACGGGAGGCAGCAGUGGGGAAUAUUGCACAAUGGGCGCAAGCCUGCUGCAGCCAUGCCGCGUGUGUGAAGAAGGCCUUCGGGUUGUAAAGCACUUUCAGCGAGGAGGCGUUACUCGCAGAAGAAGCACCUGCUAACUCCGUGCCAGCAGCCGCGGUAAUUC
rnacentral:rRNA from 1 species